GAUGAACGCUGGCGGCGUGCUUAACACAUGCAAGUCGAACGGUGAACGAGGGAGCUUGCUCCCUCCGGAUCAGUGGCGAACGGGUGAGUAACACGUGAGCAAUCUGCCCUGGACUCUGGGAUAAGCGUUGGAAACGACGUCUAAUACCGGAUACGAGGCGUGGGGGCAUCCCCAACGCCUGGAAAGAACUUCGGUCCAGGAUGAGCUCGCGGCCUAUCAGCUAGUUGGUGAGGUAACGGCUCACCAAGGCGACGACGGGUAGCCGGCCUGAGAGGGUGACCGGCCACACUGGGACUGAGACACGGCCCAGACUCCUACGGGAGGCAGCAGUGGGGAAUAUUGCACAAUGGGCGCGAGGCUGAUGCAGCAACGCCGCGUGAGGGACGACGGCCUUCGGGUUGUAAACCUCUUUUAGCAGGGAAGAAGCGAAAGUGACGGUACCUGCAGAAAAAGCACCGGCUAACUACGUGCCAGCCGCCGCCGUAAGAC
rnacentral:rRNA from 1 species